rnacentral:rRNA from 1 species
CCUACGGGAGGCAGCAGUGGGGAAUAUUGGGCAAUGGGCGCAAGCCUGACCCAGCAACGCCGCGUGAAGGAAGAAGGCUUUCGGGUUGUAAACUUCUUUUAAGAGGGAAGAGCAGAAGACGGUACCUCUUGAAUAAGCCACGGCUAACUACGUGCCAGCAGCCGCGGUAAUACGUAGGUGGCAAGCGUUGUCCGGAUUUACUGGGUGUAAAGGGAGCGCAGGCGGCCUUGCAAGUCUGAUGUGAAAUACCGGGGCUCAACCCCGGAGCUGCAUUGGAAACUGUGAGGCUGGAGUGUCGGAGAGGCAGGCGGAAUUCCUAGUGUAGCGGUGAAAUGCGUAGAUAUUAGGAGGAACACCAGUGGCGAAGGCGGCCUGCUGGACGAUGACUGACGCUGAGGCUCGAAAGCGUGGGGAGCAAACAGGAUUAGAUACCCCUGUAGUC